rnacentral:lncRNA from 1 species
UUUUUUUUUUUUUUUUUUUUUUUUUUGAGAGAGGAGAUAGAGGUGGCUGCUGUGAUGGCAAUGAUAGCUAUGGUUACUGUCUUAUUGAAUGCCUAUUAUUAUAUUAACAAAACCGAAGUUCAGAGAGGUUAAUUAACUUGUCUAAAAUCACAAGCUUGGCUGGGCAUGGUGGCUCAUGCCUGCAAUCCCAGCACUUUGGGAGGCCGAGGUGGGUGGAUCACUUGAGGUCAGGAGUUCGAAACCAGCCUGGCCAACAUGAUGAAACCCCAUUUCUACUAAAAAUACAGAAAAAUUGCUGGGUGUGGUGGCAGGCAUCUGUAAUCCCAGCUACUUGGGAAGCUGAAGCAGUAGAAUCACUUGAACCAGGGAGGCAGAGGUUGUAGUGAGCCAAGAUCACACAACUGCACCCCAGCCUGGGUGACAGAGCAAGACUCUGCCUCAAAAACAACAAAAAACAAAAACAAACAAAAAACCCCCAAAAAA